UACGAAGGAUUCGAGCGUUAUCCGGAUUUAUUGGGUUUAAAGGGUGCGUAGGUGGAUUAAUAAGUCAGUGGUGAAAGCCCGGAGCUCAACUCCGGAACUGCCAUUGAUACUGUUAGUCUUGAGUACAGUUGAGGUGGGCGGAAUGUGUCAUGUAGCGGUGAAAUGCUUAGAUAUGACACAGAACACCGAUUGCGAAGGCAGCUCACUACACUAUGAUUGACACUGAGGCACGAAAGCGUGGGGAUCAAACAGG
rnacentral:rRNA from 1 species